CACUAGGAAACGCAGGCUAAGUUCGCGCCGUCCUGGCCGUAGAGUCAAAGCGCAACUUCACCUACACUAGUACUUCCUUGUACGUCGCAACGCCUGCAUGACCACAUCCUGUAGG
rnacentral:sRNA from 1 species